rnacentral:sRNA from 2 species
UUAUAUUCUCCACAGGGGGGGAUGAGAACCCCCGACCGGGGUUCGACAACUGGCGCAGCCAGUUGGACAGACUGCGAGCCUGCGAGCGGGCUGCCCCGCAGGGGCGAGCGAAGCGAGUCAAUCCCCCCCUAACCGCCA